CUUAGUGUUUGGAAAGUCACUCGAUAAUUGUAAUCUAGGUUAAUUUCUAUUAUAUAUAAGUGAAGAGUUGUUACUACUAUUUUGUCUUACAUGAUGGCUACUUUGAUAAAUAACACUUUCAAUCAAUAAGAGAAUAUGUGGUACGUCUGUUCCCACGUGUCCUACAUCAUUCACAUACAUAUCUCUAAGAAAAAAAUUAGCAGUAGAUCAUAGCUGGUACAUACGGCUACAAUGAUAGGCGAUCCACUCACCACCUGCUGAUGGUGGUUCCGGUGGCGAUAGAUAUAGUAGCUCAUCCGCAGGUGGUAGUGGUGGAUAGGUGGUUCAGGAGGUGGUGGAGAAUAUGGAGAUGUAUAUGGUGGUUAUAGCGAUGGAAGAUCAGCUCCGCUACCUACUGAUAGAGGAUACACAGGCUCUGGCGGCGAUACAUACAAUGGCUCAUCCAGCGGUGUCAGUGGUGGAUACGGUGGUUCCAGUGGCUGUGGUGGAUGCGGCUGCGAUGAAUAUAGUGGAUACCGUGGUUCUGGCAGCGGCGGUGGUGGAUACGGUGGUACGGGAGGCACCGGUGGUAGAUACGGUGAUACAGGCGGCACCGGUGGUGGAUACGGUGGUUCUGGUGGCAGCGGUGGUGAAUACAGUGGUUCUGGAGAUGGCAGUGGCUUAGCAUAAAUUGUGGACAGUUGUGGUUAUUUCGUCUGGUCGGCUCCAUGUGAUCGGGACUGAAUGACAUGAGUGGCGGUGAAUUGAUAAUCAGAUAGUAAGCCCUGAAAAUAGUCAAGUCCAUUUUCCUCUUACUGUUGGAUGUUGCAUUACUUACCAGCAAGAUCAGCUAUAAGUCGUACAUGCCCAACGGUUUGUUUCUCAUAAGUUUUAAUCUUUUGAUUUCAUAUACUGUAUUAUCAUUAUCAUGAUUUUCUUACUAUAUUUGAUGUUAUCUUUCCAAUAAUUUCUGACGGAAGCAAUUAUAUUGAUGAUUAUGAGGGUCUUGAGUUUAGUUACAUUGCCUGAAAGUUUAAAAUUCUGUAAUUGUAGUUAACAUGUGUGUAACCAUAGAGGUUAAGUCUUGAUUUUUUUACCUUCCUUGUGGCAAUUAAAGUUACACAAGAAGAUAAGACAAACAUAAAAUUCUCAUAUUAAUAGGCUAGGAUUGCCUUAUGCAUCUUCAAAUCAGUCUGGAUGAAAUGAUUAAAAUGUGAUGGUGUUAAGUCAUAAGUGUAUUUGUAAUUAUGAUCAGUGAUGGAUUACUUUAGUUAGUAAUGGGUACUUAAGGAGAACACCAGUUGCCUGGAUACUCUAAGGCUAUGUUGCUCGGACUCUUCAAAAAUGUCAUUGGGUACAUGUCGGAUCCUUCAAAAGUAGUGCAUUUUUUAAGGAUCCCACACGGGUGCGGCCACAUUUUUGGAGAGUCCAAGCACUUAGCUCUAAGGAAACCUAAGUCUACUGGUAGACUAAAUCUACUGAAUAUUUUCCUGUGGAAAGAAGCUGCAAUAUGUAAGCUUCUUAAGUUAUGACUAAGAAAAAAAAAGCAUGACCGAUACUCUAACUCAAGAUUCUAUAAGACAUGUCAAAAUUCUAUUUUUCCUCUCCAUAAAUUUCACCCUUAGCUUAUUGCGAAGAAUACUUUGUAUAAAUGUUUGGAAUGGUUCUUGUUAUGUGGAUUCAACUGCUCCAGUUGAAGUGAAACUUUUUCUUGGGUGGCCCUAAAUAUGGUGCAAGAGCUUUCAAUACUACGAAGCAAUAUGCAUCCACUAUUUUGCGAUGUCAUCGGCAUCAUGUCUGCUCAUAUUUUGGACUUCAGAAAUAGUUUACAGGAGAAUCUGAAUGUAUUAACAAGCGAUAAAAGAGCCUUUACAUCCGAUUUUGCGCUUUGUAAUUAAUUAACAGUUUGAAUCUGUCUUUGAUUUUCAUUUCAUACUUUCUUUCUGGUGCCAACACUUUUACAAGCAAAAGCUAAUAAUGGAGAGGGUGCAACGCUUUUGAAGAGUUCACAUAAUGGUGUUACUGGUGGUUAUGCGGAGUCCUUAGCUGCAGUUCUUGUAGAACAUAAGCACCACAUUGCAAGUACACAGGUCCGAUGUUUAUUCUAAUUUGGUAAAAGGAACAAUAUGCCUACGAAGAAGAUGAAUGGAGUAGCAGCAGAAGGUGGAGGAGGAGGAGGAGGAUUCAAGGCCAAAUUAGAUCAUGUGUUAUAUAGCGGCGGAAAGAAGUAUGUCUUAGGUGGCAUCGCCGUCAUUGACGUUCUCUUUGGUGUUCCCUGGUACUUCAUAAUCUGAGGUCAUUGAUUCUUCUUCUUUUUUCCCCCCUUCUAUUACAUCAAUAGUAUAUGUAUGAAUCUUUCAUGUCUAAUUCUCCCACUAUUUCAUACAAAGUUGCAAUUUUUUUCCAUUUUAUUGGUUACCCUGCUACUGGUAUAAGAGAUUGAACUUUUCCA